ACUCCAUCACUCCCUCCCUCCGCCACUUUUUCUCUCCUCCACUCUUUUCUUCUUUUGUUUUUUCCCCUCCUCCUCUUUCACUUCUCCUGUAAAAUGAGGCUGGCGCAGGAAGCAGCGGAGUGUGGGUAUUUGGGAGGCGCUGAAACGUGCCUGUCAUUAUCAUCAAAGGCCCUUCCCUUCCCAGGUGCCCUUUUCAAGUUGGAGACAUUGGCGUCUCGCUUUCAAAGACACUUUUUAACUGUGAGGAGAGUUCUGGCCUGGACAUGUGAGAGAGCAUGUGAUAAACUCAUCUCUAUAGUGUUAUUCAAAAUACAUUAAGAACCACUUCAAUAAAAAAGACUUUAUUCUCUGGCCAACCACAGCAGUGAGUCGACUCUACCCUAUCCUCCCUUUCAUAAGUGGCAGGGGAGAGAGAAAAAAAGUGUGUGUAACAGUGUGUAUGACAGAGAAAAAAGUGUGUGACUGUGUAUGACAGUGAAGGAAGUGUGUGACAGUGUGUAUGACAGAGACGGAAGUGUGUGACAGUGUGUAUGACAGCAAAAGAAAACCUGCUGAGCUUGAAGCCUGUCAGAGCUUCCAACUUUUACUUUCGACGUUUUUUGUUUUCAAAGUUUGUCAGCACAGUGUACUCCACAGCUAUCAGUAGUUUAUGUGUUUAAUCUGUUUAUUCUCCACAGCUAUCAGUAGUUUAGAUGUUUAAUCUGUUUAUACUCCUCCUCCACCACUAUCAGUAGUUUAUGUGUUUAUAGUUUAAUCUGUUUAUACUCCACAGCUAUCAGUAGUUUAAUCUGUUUAUACUCAACAGCUAUCAGUAGUUUAGAUGUUUAAUGUUUAAUCUGUUUAUACUCCUCCUCCACCACUAUCAGUAGUUUAUGUGUUUAGUGUUUAAUCUGUUUAAUCUGUUCAUACUCCACAGCUAUCAGUAGUUUAAUCUGUUUAUACUCCACAGCUAUCAGUAGUUUAAUCUGUUUAUACUCAACAGCUAUCAGUAGUUUAGAUGUUUAAUGUUUAAUCUGUUUAUACUCCUCCUCCACCACUAUCAGUAGUUUAUAUGUUUAGUGUUUAAUCUGUUUAUACUCAACAGCUAUCAGUAGUUUAAUCUGUUUAUACUCAACAGCUAUCAGUAGUUUAGGUGUUUAAUCUGUUUAAUCUGUUUAUUCUCCACAGCUAUCAGUAGUUUAAUCUGUUUAUACUCAACAGCUAUCAGUAGUUUAUGUGUUUAGUGUUUAAUCUGUUUAUACUCAACAGCUAUCAGCAGUUUAGUGUUUAGUCUGUUUGUACUCAACAGCUAUCAGUAGUUUAGUGUUUAGUCUGUUUGUACUCCACAGCUAUCCCGACUUUGUUUGUACCAGGCGUCUUUUUACAGAGGUGUAGCAUUACGCCCCUGUUAAUCUCACCUGUUAAUCUCACCGUCAUCUUUUUACAGAGGUGUAGAGAGAGACCUGUUAAUCUCACCGUCAUCUUUUUACAGAGAUGUAGCAUUACGCUCCUGUUAAUCUCACCGUCAUCUUUUUACAGAGGUGUAGAGAGAGACCUGUUAAUCUCACCGUCAUCUUUUUACAGAGCUGUAGCAUAAUGCACCUGUUAAUCUCACCGUCAUCUUUUUACAGAGGUGUAGAGAGAGACCUGUUAAUCUCACCGUCAUCUUUUUACAGAGCUGUAGCAUAAUGCACCUGUUAAUCUCACCGUCAUCUUUUUACAGAGGUGUAGAGAGAGACCUGUUAAUCUCACCGUCAUCUUUUUACAGAGGUGUAGCAUUCAGUGUUGUGCAUGAACGCGUUCAAAAGAACACGUUCAUUUUUAUGAGAACGAUGAACUGAACGCAACUUCAUGACAAAUAAUGAAUUUGAACGGUGAACACGUUCAUAUUAUCUGAGGUCCAGCGCCACUGAGGUCUAGCUAAAACAUUACGGAAUGUUUUCCUUCUACUGAGGAAAGACGCUGUCUAAAUCGAAUGCUUGUACCAUGUCGUUGCUCAGUACCUAAAAAGGCCAUAGUAAUUAUUUGUUAAAUUGCCCAGACAGACC
ensembl:lncRNA